rnacentral:rRNA from 1 species
GCUCAGAACGAACGCUGGCGGCGCGUUUUAAGUAUGCAAGUCGAACGGUAACCAUUCUUCGGGAUGGCUAGAGUGGCGAACGGGUGAGUAACACGUAGGUGAUCUGCCCUUGAGUUGGGGAUAGCCCAUGGAAACAUGGGGUAAUACCGAAUACGCUCAGGACCCUGUGGGGAUCUGAGGAAAAGCGCUUCGGCGCUGCUCGAGGAUGAGCCUGCGGCUGAUUAGUUAGUUGGUGGGGUAACGGCCUACCAAGGCGACGAUCAGUAGCCGGCCUGAGAGGGUGAGCGGCCACACUGGGACUGAGAUACGGCCCAGACUCCUACGGGAGGCAGCAGCUAAGAAUCUUCUACAAUGGACGAAAGUCUGAUAGAGCGACGCCGCGUGGGUGAUGAAGGCCGGAAGGUUGUAAAGCCCUUUUCUAUUCGAGGAAUAACCAUAGGAGGCAAUGCCUGAGGGAUGACGGUAGGGUAGGAAUAAGCCCCGGCCAAUUACGUGCCAGCAGCCGCGGUAACACGUAUGGGGCGAGCGUUGUUCGGAAUCAUUGGGCGUAAAGGGCGCGUAGGCGGAUAUGCAAGCUUGGUGUGAAAGACCGCAGCUCAACUGCGGGAGCGCGCUGAGAACUGCAUAUCUUGAGUUCAAGAGGGGAAGCUGGAAUUCCAGGUGUAGGGGUGAAAUCUGUAGAUAUCUGGAAGAACAUCAGUGGCGAAGGCGAGCUUCUGGCUUUGAACUGACGCUGUGGCGCGAAAGCGUGGGGAGCGAACAGGAUUAGAUACCCUGGUAGUCCACGCUGUAAACGAUGUGCACUAGGUGUUGGGCCGUUGAAGGCUCAGCGCCGUAGCUAACGCGUUAAGUGCACCGNCUGGGGAGUAUGCUCGCAAGAGUGAAACUCCAAGGACUUGACGGGUCCCCGUACAAGCGGUGGAGGAUGUGGUUUACUCCGACGCAACGCGAAGAACCUUUGCCCGGGCUUUAACCUGCCCGGUAAAGCCCCUUGACAGCGGGGGUUGCUUCGGAGAUCCUGUACAGGUGCUUGCUGGGUUGCGUCCAGAUUGUGUCGUGAGCAUGUAGGGUUAGUUCCCGGAACGAAGCGGCAACCCUUGCCUUUAGUUACCAAGGCGUCAUGGGGGGAACUCUAAAGGGACUGCCCGUUUCGUAAAGGCGGNNAGGAAGGGUGGGGAAGCGGAGGGUCCAAAGGUCAUUCAUGGCCCUUAUGUCCGGGGCUACACACGUCCUACAAUGGCCGGUACAGUGGGCAGCGACACCGCGAGGUGAAGCAAAUCCCUUAAAGCCGGUCCCAGUUCGGAUUGCAGUCUGCAACUCGACUGCAUGAAGGUGGAUCGCUAGUAAUCCGGAUCAGCAUGCCGCGGUGAAUACGUUCCCGGGGAUUGUACACACCGCCCGUCACAUCAC